rnacentral:lncRNA from 1 species
AGAGCUUUAAAAGUGUAGAAUACUAGCAAUUGGGCCCUUAGCUCAUCUCAUAUAAGGGCAAAGCUUACUGUUAUGUCUGAGACUGCCAAGUAGAUGUAUAAUUCCUCGACUGCUUCUGGCUUGGAUAGUAGCGGAAAGGAUGUCAAAUAUCUCUUCAAGUCUUGAAAUGCUUUCUCGUACUCGUCGUCCCACUUGUCUCUUUUGGCCCUCUUGAUGGCCCUGAAAAAUGGCUUGCAU